GAAUUGCUAGUGAAAAGAGAAAACAUCUCAUUGAAGUGUGUGUUAGUGAAGAACAGCUCAACUGAGCAUGAACUGGGUGAACUUGCACAACAAAAAUUGGGAGCACUGACAGUCUGAUUCCAUCCUCUUAAAAGCCUAGAUAAAGGUAUACGAAUUAUGGAACAAUAAUUUAAAAUUUAAAAUUAUCCUUUUUGUUUUCAGAAGCAUUAUGCCCAGUUAACUAGCCUAACAGUUAAACCACCUGUCACCAUCUACCUGUGCUGCAUCCUCUCUGCUCCAGCCCUUCUUCAAACCCAGAAGCUUCUGCUGGGAAAGAACCUGUUUCGUGUUGCUUAAAAUUGUGCUCAUGCUGGAGAAUGUAAAACAUACUUACAACCUGCAGAGCCUCUUGAAGAAGGUUCUGGUAACAGUUUCAGUUGCAACUUGAGGUUUAUGAAGGAAAAGGCACGGCAAUGACUCCUUUUCUGUGUCCCACCAAGUCAAAGUUCACAACCGACUGGCAAAACAAUCUGUGUGUUGGUUUGCACUCUGAAGGUAUUAAUAACUUGGGAGAUUCCUGUCAAGUCUCCAGAUCCAGAAGUCUCUAGCUUCUUAGAAACACUAACUGGAAGAAAAUCCAAGAGAUCCACAAAAAAGAAGAGUAAAACAGUUGUAGUUUAUUCACUUCGUCUCAGAUGCCUGAACAGGACUCUUGAGCGGUUUCUGCUAAGAAGGUUCACCAGGACUGCCUGGCUCAUGUCAUGGCUGAAAUCCCACCUGAGGUACACUCUUCUGUCUUUUUGGUUGUCAAAAUAUUUAAUUACUUCUGUAUUAAUUCAUAAAUAGCCAUUGCCCCCAAGAGUCCUUCAUUGUCCCAGCUAACUCAGCCUUUCCUCCAGGACCCUGCAGAUGGCUGACCAAUCAAGCAAAUGAAGAGGUAAUACUCAGCAGUUUCAUGGCUAACAUUGAUUCUGAAAGAGUGUCCCACGCCAUUCAGGUUUUUGAAUAUUUUGAAUAUCAUCCUUUCUUCCUGUCCUUACUGAGUCCCUUUGACCUUAGAUGUUCACUCAUAUUGUCCCUUUGAUUAUGGUUGCUAUGUUAACUCACUUCUUCUCUACCUUGUGUAUCUAUAUCAUACACACCAGUUUCACAAUAUGUAAUUUUUGCCAUUGAUAAACUGCAUGUUAAUUUAUGGUCUUAAAGGAUGAUAAAUUAUACAUGGUUACCCAACUUUUAGAGGUUUUGCCCAUUCUCAAUUUACACAGCUGUUCAGAAAAAUAUUAGUUUUCUAGCUACCUCGGGUCUUGAGUGUACCUGGAGACAAUUUAUACUGGGGGCAUGGUAACACAAACACAUCUGCUUUUUAAAGGCAAAAAUUGGACCAAUAUUACACUGUAUGUUACUAAGUAGACUUUAAGUAAAAAUUUGAAGAAAAAAAUAAAAAAAUAAAGGCAAAAUUUGGGAAACA
rnacentral:lncRNA from 1 species